UACGUAGGGGGCAAGCGUUGUCCGGAAUUAUUGGGCGUAAAGAGCUCGUAGGCGGUUUGUCGCGUCUGCCGUGAAAGUCCGGGGCUCAACUCCGGAUCUGCGGUGGGUACGGGCAGACUAGAGUGAUGUAGGGGAGACUGGAAUUCCUGGUGUAGCGGUGAAAUGCGCAGAUAUCAGGAGGAACACCGAUGGCGAAGGCAGAUCUCUGGGCCAUUACUGACGCUGAGGAGCGAAAGCGUGGGGAGCGAACAGG
rnacentral:rRNA from 1 species